CAAAGGCUUGGUCCUGACUUUACUGUUUACUCUAACCACACUUACACAUGCAAGUAUCCGCCCCCCCGUGAGAAUGCCCUUGCCUCCCCGCCCGGGAACAAGGAGCUGGCAUCAGGCACAGUCUUACCCUGCCCACAACGCCUUGCUUAGCCACACCCCCAAGGGAACUCAGCAGUGAUAAAUAUUAAGCAAUAAGUGAAAACUUGACUUAGUUAAAGUUAUUAAGGGCCGGUAAAACUCGUGCCAGCCACCGCGGUUAUACGAGAGGCCCAAGUUAACAGAUAACGGCACAAAGGGUGGUUAAGGACACAACUGAAAACUAAAGCAAAACCCUUUCAAUGCUGUGAUACGCACCCGAAAAUGUGAAACCCGAUUACGAAAGUAGCUUUAAUAACCCUGAAUCCACGAAAGCUAAGAAACAAACUGGGAUUAGAUACCCCACUAUGCUUAGCCCUAAACAUCGAUCUCACCCAACAUUCCGCCCGGGUAUUACGAACAUAAGUUUAAAACCCAAAGGACUUGGCGGUGCUUAACAUCCACCUAGAGGAGCCUGUUCUAGAACCGAUAAUCCCCGUUAAACCUCACCCCCUCUUGCCUUUUCCGCCUAUAUACCACCGUCGUCAGCUUACCCUGUGAAGGCCAUAUAGUAAGCAAAAUCGCCAAAGUCCAAAACGUCAGGUCGAGGUGUAGUGAAUGAGGGGGGAAGAAAUGGGCUACAUUUACUAGCCAUAGUAAACACGAAUGUAAUGCUGAAAUGCAUAACUGAAGGAGGAUUUAGCAGUAAGUGGAAAACAGAGCGUCCCACUGAAACCGGCUCUAAAGCGCGCACACACCGCCCGUCACCCUCCCCGAAACCCCUAUAGCAAACUUAACUAAAAAAUCAGACUCCUACGAGGGGAGGAAAGUCGUAACAUGGUAAGUGUACCGGAAGGUGUACUUGGACAAAU
rnacentral:ncRNA from 1 species